UACGAAGGGUGCAAACGUUGCUCGGAAUUACUGGGCGUAAAGGGUGCGUAGGCGGUUCGUUAAGUCUGUCGUGAAAUCCCCGGGCUCAACCUGGGAAUGGCGAUGGAUACUGGCGAGCUAGAGUGUGUCAGAGGAUGGUGGAAUUCCCGGUGUAGCGGUGAAAUGCGUAGAGAUCGGGAGGAACAUCAGUGGCGAAGGCGGCCAUCCGGGACAGCACUGACGCUGAAGCACGAAAGCGUGGGGAGCAAACAGG
rnacentral:rRNA from 1 species